rnacentral:rRNA from 1 species
CCUACGGGGGGCUGCAGUGGGGAAUAUUGGACAAUGGGCGAAAGCCUGAUCCAGCCAUGCCGCGUGUGUGAAGAAGGCCUUCGGGUUGUAAAGCACUUUCAGUGGGGAAGAAAGCCUUGGGGCUAAUACCCUCGAGGAAGGACAUCACCCACAGAAGAAGCACCGGCUAACUCCGUGCCAGCAGCCGCGGUAAUACGGAGGGUGCGAGCGUUAAUCGGAAUUACUGGGCGUAAAGCGCGCGUAGGCGGUCUGAUAAGCCGGUUGUGAAAGCCCCGAGCUCAACCUGGGAACGGCAUCCGGAACUGUCAGGCUAGAGUGCAGGAGAGGAAGGUAGAAUUCCCGGUGUAGCGGUGAAAUGCGUAGAGAUCGGGAGGAAUACCAGUGGCGAAGGCGGCCUUCUGGACUGACACUGACGCUGAGGUGCGAAAGCGUGGGUAGCAAACAGGAUUAGAUACCCCGGUAGUC